rnacentral:rRNA from 1 species
UUGGAGGGCAAGUCUGGUGCCAGCAGCCGCGGUAAUUCCAGCUCCAAUAGCGUAUAUUAAAGUUGUUGCAGUUAAAAAGCUCGUAGUUGAAUUUUAGACUUGGCCGGGCGGUCCGUCUUUGACGAGUACUGUUCCGUUGUCGGGUCUUCCUUCUGGUGAACCAGCAUGUCCUUAAUUGGGUGUGUUGGGGAGCCAGGACCAUUACCUUGAAAAAAUUAGAGUGUUUAAAGCGGGCUAUUGCUUGAAUAGAUUAGCAUGGAAUAAUGAAAUAGGACAUCCGAUUCUAUUUUGUUGGUUUCUAGGAUCGAUGUAAUGAUUAAUAGGGAUAGUUGGGGGCAUUAGUAUUCAAUUGUCAGAGGUGAAAUUCUUGGAUUUAUUGAAGACUAACUACUGCGAAAGCAUUUGCCAAGGAUGUUUUCAUUAAUCAAGAACGAAAGUUAGGGGAUCGAAGACGAUCAGAUACCGUCGUAGUCUUAACCAUAAACUAUGCCGACUAGGGAUCGGACGAUGUCAAUUUUUUAAUGACUCGUUCGGCGCCUUACGGGUUGG